GCCCCCAGUGGCACAAUGGGUCAGUGCAUCUGGCUGUUAACUGGAGGUUUGGUGGUUCGAACCCACCUAGGGACG